GAUAGUGUGAUACAGCGGCUUGAGUAUUGGACUAUGACUCUGGAGACCAGGGUUCGAUUCCCAGCUCAGCCA